rnacentral:rRNA from 1 species
GGUUAAGCGACUAAGCGUACACGGUGGAUGCCCUGGCAGUCAGAGGCGAUGAAGGACGUGCUAAUCUGCGAUAAGCGUCGGUAAGGUGAUAUGAACCGUUAUAACCGGCGAUUUCCGAAUGGGGAAACCCAGUGUGUUUCGACACACUAUCAUUAACUGAAUCCAUAGGUUAAUGAGGCGAACCGGGGGAACUGAAACAUCUAAGUACCCCGAGGAAAAGAAAUCAACCGA